GGGGAAUUGUUCGCAAUGGGCGCAAGCCUGACGACGCAACGCCGCGUGGAGGAUGAAGGUCUUCGGAUUGUAAACUCCUGUUGAUCGGGACGAACAACCAUCGGGAUAACACCCCGGAGGUCUGACGGUACCGAUUGAGGAAGCCCCGGCUAACUCCGUGCCAGCAGCCGCGGUAAUACGGAGGGUGCGAGCGUUGUCCGGAUUUAUUGGGUUUAAAGGGUGCGUAGGUGGCUUAUUAAGUCAGUGGUGAAAUACAGCCGCUCAACGGUUGAGGUGCCAUUGAUACUGAUGAGCUUGAAACAAGUGGAGGCUGCCGGAAUGGAUGGUGUAGCGGUGAAAUGCAUAGAUAUCAUCCAGAACACCGAUUGCGAAGGCAGGUGGCUACGUUUGAUUUGACACUGAGGCACGAAAGCAUGGGGAGCAAA
rnacentral:rRNA from 1 species